AGCAGCCGCGGUAAUUCCAGCUCCAAUAGCGUAUAUUAAAGUUGUUGCAGUUAAAAAGCUCGUAGUUGAAUUUCGGGGUUCUUCCGUUGGUCGGGCUAUCCAGUCUGUACUAGCGUGUAGAAUUCCUACCUUCUGGGGAACCAUCAUGUUAUUAAUUUAGCGUGGUGGGAAACCAGGACCUUUACCUUGAAAAAAUUAGAGUGUUCAAAGCAGGCUUACGUCUGAAUACAUUAGCAUGGAAUAAUAGAAUAGGACGGUGGUCCUGUUUUGUUGGUUUCUGAAUCACCGUAAUGAUUAAUAGGGAUAGUUGGGGGCAUUAGUAUUCAAUUGUCAGAGGUGAAAUUCUUGGAUUUAUUGAAGACUAACUUCUGCGAAAGCAAUUUGCCAAGGAUGUUUUCAUUAAUCUAAGAACGAAAGUUAGGGGAUCGAAGACGAUCAGAUACCGUCGUAGUCUUAACCAUAAACUAUGCCGACUAGGGAUCGGACGAUGUUAAAUUUAUUGACUCGUUCGGCGCCUUAC
rnacentral:rRNA from 1 species